UGUUAUGGCAGUCGUGCGCGGGAGAUCUUCGGAUCUGCUGGGUUUAUCUUUUGUCCCGGUCUUGCACACCCGCGUACUGCUGCCACCCUA
rnacentral:antisense_RNA from 1 species